rnacentral:rRNA from 1 species
GACGAACCGAGCGAACGUUAUUCGGAAUCACUGGGCGUAAAGGGUGCGUAGGCGGGUCUUUUAAGUCAGGGGUGAAAUCCUGGAGCUCAACUCCAGAACUGCCUUUGAUACUGAAGAUCUUGAGUUCGGGAGAGGUGAGUGGAACUGCGAGUGUAGAGGUGAAAUUCGUAGAUAUUCGCAAGAACACCAGUGGCGAAGGCGGCUCACUGGCCCGAUACUGACGCUGAGGCACGAAAGCGUGGGGAGCAAACAGGG